GGAACAGUGUUCUGUGGUCGGGGGAGGACUAUAAAUGUCCAAGUGCCCAAAUAUCGCUCUCUUACAAGAAAUGGGAAGAGGAGUAGUGACGUGUUGGGUUUUCGUCUAUGAUUUUGCAACCAUGUUUGUCGACCAGACAUGGGAGGACUGCAAGCGGGGGGAAAUCCCUUUCGAUGAAGGCCUGCUGAUAAAGUGAAUGACGGCGUCUAAAGGACACAUCCUCUAAUUGGCCAAAUAAGAAUUUGCUGUUAUGUUGAAGGUGUAAUGGAGGCUGUGAGGCCGCUACCAUUUGGUUGAAAUUGAAAGAUCAAAGGAAUCAUGCUUAUUACAUGAUGCUGUGAUACCAUCUUUGAAGGUAAGAGCGUGGAAUUGUAUAGGUAAAUGGCAAAUGUGCUGUGAUGAGUUUUUUUAAUCACCUACUUAAUGUUUUGUGAAGAAUCUUCGGAACCCUGAGCACCACUCUUUAAUGGCAUACUGCUACCUUUUCGUGUCUGUUUGGCUCAUGUUUCCUUUGUCCUCCACAGAAAUGAAGACCAUGUAUCAGGGUGUUGAGUCUCUGGUUUUUAUGCCCUAAGUUGACAGGUAAUGCACACCUUACAUCUAAAGUGCUUCAUGCUGAUCGGGCUGUGCACUGAUGAGAGCUUGAUAGCUUUAACCCAGCUUUCUUACUGUUGGUGAAGACUUUCAAAAUCUGAGCACAGCUUGUAGUGACUUAUUGUCAAGUAUGUCCAUACUACACUAACUGAUGUUUAAUGUUUGCUUUUCAGAAAAAUCCUGACUCCUCUAAUUAAAGGUGCGUUUGGGUGGCCUAACCCUGUGAGCUACACAUGUCCUGUGCAGUGAUGAUUACUUAUCACCUACUGAAUGUCUAGUGAAGAACCUUCGGAACCCUGAGCACUACUGAGUCAUUAUGGGUUCUUUUUAUGUGGGCCGCAUGUUGCUCAUUAACUUUCUCCACUUUUCCAGGAAUUUACAUGGAAUGGUGAUACUUGGUCUCUUGCUGCAGUGGAUGUCAAAGCAAGGUAAGGUACUUCAGUGAUUUCUAAUUGUAUUAGCAUGUACAUCGGCCUGUGCGCUGAUGAAAGCUUUAUAGCUUUAACCCAGCUUUCUUACUGUUGGUGAAGACUUUUAACCUCUGAGCACACUUUAAAAUGGCUUUAAUGGUUGCUAAUGUCUACUAUUGGUACUAAUUUGGUCUCUAACUUUCAGGAGGUCAUGCUGAUCUUCUGGUAUGCUGCUGGACUAUCGGUGAGGAAAUGUUAUUUAUAGUGAAACACUCAAGUGCUGUGCAGUGAUGAUUACUUAUCACCUACUGAAUGUCUAGUGAAGAACCUUCGGAACCCUGAGCGCAUUACAUUUCCUGAUGGACUUGUACUGUAUUGUGUCUAGAUGGCUCAUUUGUUUUGUCUUCCACAGGUGCAUGAUGCUGCUUUACCCGGUUCUGAUGUCUGGAAUUUAUUGAAAGGUAAUGCGCAUGACCACUGACAUGUUUUAUUUUAACCCAAGCUGUACUCAAAAUCACAACAGAGGCUUUUUCCUCUUUGGUGAUCUCUUUUCCUUGGGAGAGUAACACAGGACUUUGGCACAGUUUGACGUAGUCUCAAUCUACAACAAUCUGACUAGAAGACCUGAGACACUUGUUUGCAAUAUGGUCACAUUUAUACUGAAACCUCUUGUAAUUUUUUUUAAUUGAGUCUUGUUUGUUGAUGUUUACAGGAAUGUUCUCUAGAUUCCAUCCUGCUGGAAAUGCUCUCUACUAAGAUGCGCUACUGCUCAUCACACCCCAGCUGGGUUCUUGUCCCUUAAUGCCAUGUAUUCCAGAAGACUCAAGGAAAAGAUUGAAUAAUAUGGAUCCUGGCAUGUCAGUGUUUGAGUUGAUUUGCUGCAUUAUUGGGCUCUGUGCCCUUGAAUUAAAUGUAAAGUGAAAUAAAUGUUUAUUCAAAGUG
ensembl:lncRNA